rnacentral:rRNA from 1 species
GACGAACGCUGGCAGCGUGCUUAACACAUGCAAGUCGAACGAUAAGGCCCCUUCGGGGGUACACGAGUGGCGAACGGGUGAGUAACACGUGAGCAACCUGCCCUUGACUCUGGAAUAACAGUUGGAAACAGCUGCUAAUACUGGAUAUUCAUCGUCUCCUUCCUGGGGGGUGGUGGAAAGCUCCGGCGGUCAGGGAUGGGCUCGCGGCCUAUCAGCUUGUUGGUGAGGUAAUGGCUCACCAAGGCUUCGACGGGUAGCCGGCCUGAGAGGGCGACCGGCCACACUGGGACUGAGAUACGGCCCAGACUCCUACGGGAGGCAGCAGUGGGGAAUAUUGCACAAUGGGCGCAAGCCUGAUGCAGCAACGCCGCGUGCGGGAUGACGGCCUUCGGGUUGUAAACCGCUUUCAGUAGGGACGAAGGGUGACUGACGGUACCUACAGAAGAAGGACCGGCUAACUACGUG